AAAGUAAGGGAUCAUCCCAGUAAUAGUGUUUUAUGUCGUAGAAGAAUCGUUUCUUCUGCUGGUAAGAUAAAGUAGGUGGAACUAUUCCGGCAGCUAAAUAAUUGACGAGGUCAGCGUACCAUGGUGUAACAGAUAUAGCUAAGGUGGUUUCUACUUGCAUGUCGGAGUUGUUCUCUUCCAAAGUAGCUAUAAGUUUGUCAUACGAGAAAUCAUCAUUAAUUGAUGUUCUUUCCGGUUCAAGGUUCUCAAGUCUAGAGAGGUGGUCUGCUACUACGUUUUCAGUUCCUUUCUUGUCCUUGAUUUCUAAGUCGAAUUCUUGUAGCAACAAGAUCCAUCUUAGGAGUCUAGGUUUAG
rnacentral:lncRNA from 1 species